rnacentral:rRNA from 1 species
GAUGAACGCUAGCGAUAGGCCUAACACAUGCAAGCGAGGGGCAGCACAUGAGUAGCAAUACGAUGGUGGCGACCGGCGCACGGGUGAGUAACACGUAUGCAACCUACCUCUAACAGGGGGAUAACCCGUUGAAAGACGGACUAAUACCCCAUAAUACAGGGGCUCCGCAUGGAGAUAUUUGUUAAAGAUUUUAUCGGUUAGAGAUGGGCAUGCGUUCCAUUAGCUAGUUGGUGAGGUAACGGCUCACCAAGGCGACGAUGGAUAGGGGAACUGAGAGGUUUAUCCCCCACACUGGAACUGAGACACGGUCCAGACUCCUACGGGAGGCAGCAGUGAGGAAUAUUGGUCAAUGGAGGCAACUCUGAACCAGCCAAGUCGCGUGAAGGAUGAAGGUCUUAUGGAUUGUAAACUUCUUUUGCAGGGGAAUAAAUAGCGGUACGUGUACCGUUUUGCAUGUACCCUGCGAAUAAGGAUCGGCUAACUCCGUG